GACGAACGCUGGCGGCGUGCUUAACACAUGCAAGUCGAACGGUGAAGCGCCUUCCUUUUUGGUGGGUGUGGAUGAGUGGCGAACGGGUGAGUAACACGUGAGUAACCUGCCCCCUUCUUCUGGAUAACCGCAUGAAAGUGUGGCUAAUACGGGAUAUUCUGGGUCUGUCGCAUGAUGGGUCUGGGAAAGAUAUUGUUUCGGUGGGGGAUGGGCUCGCGGCCUAUCAGCUUGUUGGUGGGGUGAUGGCCUACCAAGGCGGUGACGGGUAGCCGGCCUGAGAGGGUGGACGGUCACACUGGGACUGAGACACGGCCCAGACUCCUACGGGAGACAGCAGUGGGGAAUAUUGCACAAUGGGCGCAAGCCUGAUGCAGCGACGCCGCGUGAGGGAUGGAGGCCUUCGGGUUGUGAACCUCUUUCGCCAGUGAAGCAGGCCUGCCUCGUUUGUGGGUGGGUUGACGGUAGCUGGAUAAGAAGCGCCGGCUAACUACGUG
rnacentral:rRNA from 1 species